rnacentral:rRNA from 1 species
AGUGAUCAGUGGCGAACGGGUGAGUAACACGUGGGCAACCUGCCCCCCGCUUCGGGAUAACUCCGGGAAACCGGGGCUAAUACCGAAUAUUCAGGUACCUCGGCAUCGAGGAACCUGGAAAGGAUUCAGGCGAGGGAUGGGCCCGCGGCCUAUCAGCUAGUUGGUGAGGUAAUGGCUCACCAAGGCGACGACGGGUAGCCGGCCUGAGAGGGCGACCGGCCACACUGGGACUGAGACACGGCCCAGACUCC